rnacentral:hammerhead_ribozyme from 13 species
GGUGCAUCUAACUGACGAGUCCCAGAUAGGACGAAAUGCUCA